AAUAGUUACUAGUUGGUACAAUAGACACUUUCUAAAAGAAUUCUAUUGAGGAGCUGCGCUACGUAUCCUCAUAUUUACAUGAAUGAACAAUCAAAAUAUGGCUAAACUUGUCGAACAGAACGCUUUCAACUAAUACGAAUUAUUUGUGAAAGAAAGCCAAAGAAUCGUCACGCUUCUUUGGGGCGAUGUGACAAAUGGAAUGCUCAACUUAUGGGAUUUUUUUAUUAAAUUGUGCAAAUGAUGCAAAGUAAUAUUCACCAAAACGAGUAUCCUUAUUUUCUUUAUUUUAGGUAUCGUUGAUUUCUCAUUUUAUCAUUAAAAAAGUAAUGUGGAAUUGCU